AAAGAAAGAGAGCGAGUUACAUGUGGACUUGGGAGACCACCACUUCCGGAUCCUCCACAGCGCCGGACACUGCAGCAUUGCGCACCACCCUAGUGGAAAAGGAAAUGCAUAGUUAGACCAAAUGACAAUUUUACCCCUACUCAUGUGAUUUUGUAACGUUGUAUGAUUUUUUUUUUAUUUUAUUUAUUGUUAAACAGUAUAGAAAAAAAAAAUAUAAUCCUAUAUUUUACAAUCAUCAUAUUUAAUUAUAAAUGAUAAAUUCUUGCAAUAAAAAAAUUAAUAAUUAAAUAAUUAAAUAUUAAUUUUAGAUUAUAAAAUAAUUAAAAUAAAAUUACCGGAUAUAUAAUUCCUAAUUCUCGGGACAAUUUACACCGCUCGAGGUGGUCGGUCGCAUAAAUACUAGAUUGCGUUUUUUUCCUGUUUUUCUUGGAAACAGCGCCGAGGCGAGGGAAAUUUCUCCCGCGUCUUUUUAUCCGAGAAAUGUUACGUGAACCGCGCUCGCCACGUCAUCCGUGGACCAAUUUUCUAAGUAUUAUUUUACAUCGUUUGGAAGGAAAAUAGUAAGUUUUGAAUUUUAAAAAUGUAAUAUUUAAAUAUUUGUUACUUGUCAGUGGUGCAGAGUCCAAAUUUUUUUAUUGACAAAAAUAUGGCGGUCCACGGAUGAGUUCGUAGAUUUGGUCCACAAAGAUGAUCUUGCUGUUGAUUGACCUUGGGUAGUGCGGUGACUUGAAAUGACCGAAAUGCCCUCCAACGAAUUACCCAUUCGAGAGUGGCGGAGAAAGCGAAAUUAGAAAGCGAAGGGAAACUAACAAAACGAACGCAACGAAUUCAACGGCGGAGAUGUGAUCUCCCCCGAUCUGGACGGCUAUAAUCCAAUCCGAGCUCACACAGCCCAUCCGAUAAAGCAAAAUCAACGGCCGGGAUCUCCCCUCACGAGAAAAGAUCGGCUCAAAUCCACCGUCCAAAUACGAAAAGCUCUAUAAAGCUACUACACUAACCUCUCCGCCGCCGCGGCCGUUAAUGGCGCCGCCUCUCGGAGGCUCCUCCUCGAACCCGCUCCUCCCCUAAUAACCCUAGAUCCAAGAAAAAAAACCCAAGAUCAAGCCCUAGAAACCCUAGAAUCUCCCCCAAAACCCCUCUUAGGGCUUCAGGAGAAGCCACAUUACUCACAUGUGGGACAUUUCGGGUACGUACCUCGACACGGCAAGCUUAUCGGCCCCGAUCCACCCGAUUCCUCCGCCGCCGAUGAGCACGAGGAGUACUCCGACGAUCGCCAACGGUAGCCACCUCCGCCGCCGCUCCGCCGCCUCCGCCGCCAUUGUUUCCGGUGAGUCUCUCUUUCUCUCUUUAGCUCUCUCUCUCUCUCGCUCUCUCUCUAGAGAGAGAGAGGGCUUAAAAUUUUGUACAAAGAAAGAGGGGGAGGGGAGGUGAGGUGUUAAAGAAAAAAGCGCCGAGGGUAGCGGCGAUUUAUAGAGAGUUGUUCUCCU
rnacentral:lncRNA from 1 species